UAACUUCAGCAGGGGAGAUACCAUGAUCACAGAGGUGAUUUUCCAGGGCGAGGCUUAUCCAUUGCAUUCCAGAUGUGCUGACCCUUGCUAUUUCCCCAAAUGUGGGAAACUCGACUGCAUAAUUUGUGGUAGUGUGGGACUGCAUUCGCGCUCUCCCCUG
ensembl:snRNA U1 U1 spliceosomal RNA